UACGUAGGGUGCAAGCGUUGUCCGGAAUUAUUGGGCGUAAAGAGCUCGUAGGCGGUCUGUCGCGUCGGCUGUGAAAGCCCGGGGCUCAACCCCGGGCCUGCAGUCGAUACGGGCAGACUAGAGUGCGGUAGGGGAGACUGGAAUUCCUGGUGUAGCGGUGAAAUGCGCAGAUAUCAGGAGGAACACCGAUGGCGAAGGCAGGUCUCUGGGCAUUAACUGACGCUGAGGAGCGAAAGCAUGGGGAGCGAACAGG
rnacentral:rRNA from 1 species